UCUUCCUAGUACUCGCCGUUGCGUGGAUC
rnacentral:sRNA from 1 species